GUGGCUGCCGGGCUGCCUGCCCUCAGCGGCGGCGCCUGACGAGGGUGCCGCGGCCGCUGGGCGCAGCGUUCGGGGGUUGCACGGCCCGCGGCGGCGACGAAAACAACGACCAGGACGCUCGGCGCCCCUGUCCGCAGAGUCGCCACUCCCGCCUCUUCUCCGGUCUCUAGCGACGCGGGCCCGCGGCUUCCUCCUUUCCUGCCCAGUUCCCGCGGGCCUCGGGGUUGCAGCGGCUAGAAGUGCCGAGGAGCGCCAGGAGGACCCGGCCGGCUGCGAGGAUUCACGCGCCCGCCACCCCGCCCGGCCCGGGCUUCAUGUGAAAGAGGGACGGGCCUGGCCCCAAGGCCCGCGCCCGACUCCUCGCGCGCCCCUCCGGUCCCCGGGGGCCCUGCGGCAGCCCCCGACCUGGGGCCGCGGUGACAGGCCGCGCUGGGGCGGAGGGGCGGGCUCGGCGGGGGCGGCCCCUCCUUGGGCCUGCGGCUCUCUACGUCCCUGCGGAGCAGCCGGCCAUAAAGAAUGCUGAUGGGAGAACCAUUUUCCUAAUUUUCAAAUUGUUGAGCUGUUUGCCAUAAUGGAUGAUCAGCAAGCUUUGAACUCAAUCAUGCAAGAUUUGGCUGUCCUUCAUAAGGCCAGUCGACCAGCAUUAUCCUUGCAGGAAACCAGAAAAGCAAAAUCUUCAUCACC
rnacentral:lncRNA from 1 species